AAUCUGCUGCAAAAUACCAGGCUCUGCUAGAGAAGGAGCAGCAGGAGAUAAAGGAGGUGUUUGCUGCACUGAUGGAGGCACUGAGGAAAACAGGGCAGGUGCUGCUCGCUCCUCUGGAGGAUGGGAGGAGGUGUUUGGAGAAAGAGAUGGACGAAAAGACGCAACAAAUACAAAAAGACAUUCUCAAGUACAAGGAGGCCAUCGAGUCUUUGAAUCGCACCAAGAAUGAGGAAGAUGACAUCCUCUUCAUCCAGUCCUAUCCGUCCGUGCCAGCUGAGUU